CAAUAGCGUAUAUUAAAGUUGUUGCAGUUAAAAAGCUCGUAGUUGGAUUUCUGGUGGGAGCGAUCGGUCUGGCGCUUAGCGCGAGUACUUGCAUCGUCUCCGGCCAUCCUUGGGGAGAGUCUGUCUGGCAUUAGGUUGUCGGGCAGAGGAUCCUCAUCGUUUACUGUGAAUAAAUUAGAGUGUUCAAAGCAGGCUUAUGCCGUUGAAUAUAUUAGCAUGGAAUAAUAAGAUAGGACUUUGGUACUAUUUUGUUGGUUUGCGCACCAAAGUAAUGAUUAAUAGGGACAGUUGGGGGUAUUCGUAUUCCGUUGUCAGAGGUGAAAUUCUUGGAUUUACGGAAGACGAACUACUGCGAAAGCAUUUACCAAGGAUGUUUUCAUUAA
rnacentral:rRNA from 1 species